rnacentral:rRNA from 1 species
UUCCGGUUGAUCCUGCCGGACCUGACUGCUAUCGGAUUGAUACUAAGCCAUGCGAGUCUUUGUAGCAAUACAAGGCAGACGGCUCAGUAACACGUAGUCAAUCUACCCUAUAGACGGGGAUAACCUCGGGAAACUGAGAAUAAUACCCGAUAGGCCAUUAUGCCUGGAAUGGUUUAUGGCUCAAAUGAUUUAUCGCUGUAGGAUGGGACUGCGGUCUAUCAGCUUGUUGGUGAGGUAAUGGCCCACCAAGGCUAUAACAGAUACGGGCUCUGAGAGGAGAAGCCCGGAGAUGGGUACUGAGACACGGACCCAGGCCCUAUGGGGCGCAGCAGGCGAGAAAACUUUGCAAUGUGCGAAAGCACGACAAGGUUAAUCCGAGUGUUUUCUGCUAAAGAAAUCUUUUGUCAGUCCUAAAAACACUGAUGAAUAAGGGGUGGGCAAGUUCUGGUGUCAGCCGCCGCGGUAAAACCAGCACCUCAAGUGGUCAGGAGGAUUAUUGGGCCUAAAGCAUCCGUAGCCUGCUCUGUAAGUUUUCGGUUAAAUCCAUAUGCUCAACAUAUGGGCUGCCGGGAAUACUGCAUAGCUAGGGAGUGGGAGAGGUAGACGGUACUCGGUAGGAAGGGGUAAAAUCCUUUGAUCUAUUGAUGACCACCUGUGGCGAAGGCGGUCUACCAGAACACGUUCGACGGUGAGGGAUGAAAGCUGGGGGAGCAAACCGGAUUAGAUACCCGGGUAGUCCCAGCUGUAAACUAUGCAAACUCAGUGAUGCGUUGGCUUGUAGCCAGUGCAGUGCCGCAGGGAAGCCGUUAAGUUUGCCGCCUGGGAAGUACGUACGCAAGUAUGAAACUUAAAGGAAUUGGCGGGGGAGCACCACAAGGGGUGAAGCCUGCGGUUCAAUUGGAGUCAACGCCGGGA